UCGAAACCUGCCCAGCAGAACGACCCGCGAACCAGUUGAUAUCACCGGCGGCGGGAGGGGGUACGCGUCCGCAACGGGCGCUCCUCCUUCCCGCCCCACGCCACGGGGAGAGGGACUCAUCCCGCUCCCGGCUGGCGAAACAACGAACCCCCGGCGCGGACUGCGCCAAGGAAAUCUAACGAGAGAGCACGCUCCCGCGGCCCCGGAGACGGUGCGCCGCGGGGUGCGGCGCCUUCUUUCACAUGUAUCCAAAACGACUCUCGGCAACGGAUAUCUCGGCUCUCGCAUCGAUGAAGAACGUAGCGAAAUGCGAUACUUGGUGUGAAUUGCAGAAUCCCGUGAACCAUCGAGUCUUUGAACGCAAGUUGCGCCCCAAGCCAUUAGGCCGAGGGCACGUCUGCCUGGGUGUCACGCAUCGUUGCUCCACCCCACCCCCCCAAACCAAGGCGGGGGCCCCGGGGUGUGGGCGGAGAUUGGCCUCCCGUGCGCUGACCGCUCGCGGUUGGCCCAAAUCUGAGUCCUCGGCGACCGAAGCCGCGGCGAUCGGUGGCGAAACAAAAGCCUCUCGAGCUCCCGCCACGCGCCCGGUCUCCGAGUGGGGACUCUGCGACCCUGAAGCUCCGCGCAAGCGGCGCUCGCAUCGCGACCCCA
rnacentral:rRNA from 1 species